GAGGGCAGAAGUGCCGCCUCCAGCCACCUGCCACCGCCAGGCGAGCGCGCCGCGUGGGCCGUGCGUGGUCCCAGCUGGCGGCUGAGCCAGGAGGCGCCGGGUGCAGCUCCCUGUUCCCUCACCGCGGACCCUGAGGGGGACUCUGUUCCGAGACAGAACAACACCCGCCUCCUCCUGCGCCAGGAGGAAGAGCAGCCGGCUCUGAAAUGAAGACAGCCUAGAAAUGGCCCGCCGCGCCUGAAGCCCGCAGGAGCCCACGCCGUGCUCGGCCAGCCCCAGCCUUUGGAAGACCCGCCAGGGACCUUCCCGGCUUUGCGUCCGGAGACCAGGGACCCCGCGGUGGGACUGCGUGGAAAACGGCCCGGAGGAUGUGGCCCCCGGAGAGCCUCACCUGAGACCUCAUCACGCCGGCCUUCCCGCAGGGGCCCGGCAGCAUGACAAGGUACCGACCCCCACGCAGACGGCGGGGCCUGGGGAGGGGCGAGGAGCCACCGGAUUCCCCCGGGGUCGGGGUGCCUGGACCCGGCCUCUGAAGCAUUUCCGUGCUGUCGGCCCACUCAGAGGUCUCGUAGGCGCCACCACCAGGCCACAGGGGACCUGCCGACGGCCACCGCCCCCGUGGACGGCGUGGCCGCUGCCCGCAGCUCCAGUCCAGACCCCGGGCUUCCCGGAUGCUGCCCCCUCCCCACCCGCAUCUGAGUCCUUGCCUCACUGUGUUUUCUGCAGCUCAUGACAGCAUCCCCGAAACUGAGUAAUUGACAGAGAAAAGGAAUUUGUUUCCUACGGUUCUGCAGGCUGAGCCGUCCCAGGUGGAGGGGCCGCACCUGAUGGGGACUCUGCAGGGUCCCAAGGUGGCACCGGGGGUCACCCCAUGAGGGGCUAAGGGUGCCCACAUGCUGGCUUGGGCCACUCGGCCUCUUCCCAUGAAGCUGCCCGGUCCCCGCCUGUGAUACCUGUUGACCCAGUAAUCCAGUGGGCAGAGCUGUCGUGAUCCAAUCUCCCCUUUUAUUUAUUUAUUUUUUUUGAGACAGAGUCUCACUC
rnacentral:lncRNA from 1 species